GCGGGUAUAAUUUAGUGGUAAAAUUCCAUGCUUCCGACCUGGCCUCGUGGGUUCGAUUCCCACUACCCGCUCCA
rnacentral:tRNA from 1 species